rnacentral:rRNA from 1 species
CCUACGCGAGGCAGCAGUGGGGAAUAUUGCACAAUGGGGGGAACCCUGAUGCAGCGACGCCGCGUGAGUGAAGAAGUAUUUCGGUAUGUAAAGCUCUAUCAGCAGGAACGAGACAAGACGGUACCCCAAUAGCAAGCCACGGCUAACUACGUGCCAGCAGCCGCGGUAAUACGUAGGUGGCAAGCGUUAUCCGGAAUGACUGGGCGUAAAGGGGGCGUAGGUGGUUUAGUAAGUUGGCGGUGUAAUUCCGGGGCUCAACCUCGGCGCUACCGCCAAAACUAUUAGACUAGAGUGCAGGAGGGGUAAGUGGAAUUCCGAGUGUAGCGGUGGAAUGCGUAGAUAUUAGGAGGAACAUCAGGGGCGAAGGCGACUUACUGGACUGUAACUGACACGGAGGCACGAAAGCGUGGGGAGCAAACAGGAUUAGAUACCCCAGUAGUC